CACGCUGUAAACGAUGUGAACUAGAUGUGGGGGGUGUUGAUCCCCUCUGUGUCGCAGCUAACGCACUAAGUUCACCGCCUGGGGAGUACGGUCGCAAGAUUAAAACUCAAAGGAAUUGACGGGGGCCCGCACAAGCGGUGGAGUAUGUGGUUUAAUUCGAUGCAACGCGAAGAACCUUACCUGGUCUUGACAUCCCGGAGACCCUUAGGAAACUAGGGGGUGCUUCCAUCUGGAAGAAUCUGGAGACAGGUGC
rnacentral:rRNA from 1 species